UAUAGACAUGAUUUUGGAGUGUUCGGUAGCAAAUGACACAAAACAUCAACGUCAUAAGGAUAAUUUAAGCUAGAUACACCUGUGCUAGUCCUUCUCUAAAUAGGUACUCCUUAUCCUAGAAAUCUCAGUCCUAAUAGAAAUCCUUAUCCUACAUGAUACAAAGAGCUAAGUGAGGAAUUUCUCGCUCUCAUUUCCAUUAGGAUUAGAGUCACAAAUUACAACAUUGAGGGUCAGCUCCCGCGAGCUAGAUUCGCUCGUGUAGUAGUUGAACCCAAAAACUUACCCUGUUUUCACCCUAAAAUUGGACUUCCAAUAAUACCCACGCUAGAAAAUUUACAGUUCUCUAGCAAAAAUCUGUGACCUAUCAAGUAUCAACCAUACCUGAAGAUUGCAACUCUAGCCCAGCUCAAGCCAUAUUAACAAAAAAAAAAGCAAUAUAAAUAAAAUAAAAUAAAUAUAGCAAAUGGGGAAUGUUUGCUCUUUUAGAUUCCAAGGUCGAUCGUGCUUUUCUAUUCAAGUACAGAUAUGUCCAUGCAACAAGGAGACGACGACAUUGAUUGACCAACACUGCAAGGAACUGAUCAUGGCCAAGAAAACAAAGGAAAAAUACAAAUACAAGUCAUGAAUAAUCGAUGCCCUCAUGAUCUGCACGUUACUGUGACGCCUCAAUCCUCUGCAUACAAACAAGUUAUUUUUAUCUCCACUGGACCCUCCCAUCUUUCUAGCUCCUUGCAAUAACCCAAUAAUGUAAUGCUGAUAGCUCAACUAUUUCUUUUGCAAAUAAUGUAGUAAUAGUAGUCUAUUUUCAUCAGCAACAACAUUAAUUCUCCAUGUCUCCUGAUCAGGCCACUUAUAUACAUAUUUUCAUCUCAGGUAGGUUACCAUGGAAACAGCUGAUGAUCAGGAGAGAGCACCCCUGCUUUAUCCUCAACCUCAUGCACAGGUAAAUAUCAUUAUAUUAGAACAAAUUAACAUCCAAGAAUCACUUUGUAGUUUCAGGUUUUUGCAGCCAACAGUUUUGCUGAUUUUUUAUGCAGGAGGGUGCAGGUUCAGAAGGUGAUGGAUCAGUGGACAUACACAACCAGCCUGCUCUCGAGCGCAACACAGCGAAUUGGAGAGCAUGCUUCAUGAUCCUAGGUAGCAAUUCAUAUGUAGCUGAUACUAGUGUGUUUUCUUUCUUGGUUGCUUUGAUUCAAAUCACUGAAAUUAAUUUGUCCGUAAUUACUAAUUAGGUGAUGUGCUCAGUGAGUGCUUGGCUUUCUAUGGGAUCUCCAAGAAUCUAGUGACCUGCUACCUGGUAUGAGAGCAGGAGAUAUGGCAGCUACCUCACACCACUCUUCUCAUCUUCCUCGGCUGACACUUCUUAGGGUAGAUACUGGACAGCGCUUACUUUCCUCCCGCUUUACAUAAGGAAAAAGUACGAAUUACCCCCUCCCCGGAACUAUUGCGGUAGUACGAUUUACCCCCUAAACUAUAAUACCGGACAUUUGACACCCCCAAACACUUAAAACCGGCUAAAUUACCACCCUAACUCGAUUCGAAGCGGUUUUCAGCCUACGUGGCACACAUGUGGCGAUACAGUCAGCAAAAAAAAAAUAUAAACAGGUGGGGCCCAGCUGUCAGCACCUUUUUUCCUCUCCUUCUCUCCCCUCUCUCUGUCGGUGAACAACUGAACACUGCAGGCGGCGGGCGGGCGAGGAGCCAACGCCGACGGGCUGCCAGCGGCGGGGAUGGCUGCGGGCGGCAGGCGAGGAGCCGAGGCUGGAGGUGAGUGGGCGCGGAGGCAGCGGUGGGCGAGGAGCCGACGCCGACGGGCGCGCUGUACAUGGUGCCGUACGUCCGCCGCGACAUGCUCAUCAUCGAGAACCAACUGCCUCUCCUCCUCCUCCAGAAGCUCGUCGCCGUCGAGACCAGCAAAGAAGCCCAAAGAAAUGGGUGACGUCGAGUAUGAAGUGAACAAGAUGGUGCUGAGGUUCAUCUCACCGUCGUGCAAGACGCCACCGGCGAAGGAACACCGGGCGCUCCACCCGCUCGACUUGUUCCGCAAGAGCUUGCUUAGCGGCCAGCACCAUAGACCACGCGGCGACCAGGGCAGAGGCGGCGGCGGCGCCGCCAGGAGAGACGACCGCCGCCACGACGACGACGAGGAGGAGGCCAACGGCGGCAUCAUCCGGUCAGCGGCGGAGCUCUACGAGGCGGGCAUCCGGUUCAGGCGUCCUCAUCAUCCGGUCGGCGGUGGAGCUCUACGAGGCGAGAGAAGAGAGAGGAGAGGGAGGAAGAUGGGAAUAGGAGUAUGACACGUGGGACCAUAUAUUUUUAAUAAAUAAGGUGCUGACUGGAUUGCC